rnacentral:rRNA from 1 species
AUAGCGUAUAUUAAAGUUGUUGCGGUUAAAACGCUCGUAGUUGGAUUUGCGGCCUCGAAGGAUGGUCCCCCGAAAGGGCGGUCACUAUCUCUUCUAGCCUAAAUUCGAGUCGUCUCUAGGUGCUCUUUACUGAGUGCUUAGAGUGACUAGAACGUUUACUUUGAAAAAAUUAGAGUGCUUAAAGCAGACGAAAUAGUCUGAAUAAGGUGCAUGGAAUAAUGGAAUAGGACCUCGGUUCUAUUUUGUUGGUUUUUCGGAACCCGAGGUAAUGAUUAAUAGGGACGGACGGGGGCAUUCGUAUUGCGGCGCUAGAGGUGAAAUUCUUGGGCCGUCGCAAGACGAACUACUG